AGUCGAACGCGAAAGGGGCUUCGGCCCUGAGUAGAGUGGCGAACGGGUGAGUAACACGUGGGUGACCUGCCCUCGAGUGGGGGAUAACAUCCCGAAAGGGGUGCUAAUACCGCAUGACAUCCUGUCUUUGAACAGAUGGACAUUAAAGCCGGGGAUCGCAAGACCUGGCGCUCGAGGAGGGGCUCGCGUCCGAUUAGCUAGUUGGUGGGGUAAUGGCCUACCAAGGCGACGAUCGGUAGCCGGCCUGAGAGGGCGGACGGCCACACUGGGACUGAGACACGGCCCAGACUCCUACGGGAGGCAGCAGUGGGGAAUUGUUCGCAAUGGGCGCAAGCCUGACGACGCAACGCCGCGUGGAGGAUGAAGAUCUUCGGGUCGUAAACUCCUCUCGAUCGGGACGAAUGGCUGGUGGUCUAACACAUCAUCAGAGUGACGGUACCGAGAGAAGAAGCCCCGGCUAACUCCGUGCCAGCAGCCGCGGUAAUACGGGGGGGGCAAGCGUUGUUCGGAAUUACUGGGCGUAAAGGGCGCGUAGGCGGCCUGCUAAGUCGGAUGUGAAAUCCCUCGGCUCAACCGAGGAACUGCAUCCGAUACUGGCGGGCUUGAAUCCGGGAGAGGGAUGUGGAAUUCCAGGUGUAGCGGUGAAAUGCGUAGAUAUCUGGAGGAACACGGGUGGCGAAGGCGGCAUCCUGGACCGGUAUUGACGCUGAGGCGCGAAAGCUAGGGGAGCAAACGGGAUUAGAUACCCCGGU
rnacentral:rRNA from 1 species